GGGGAUUUAGCUCAGUGGCAUAAGUACCUGCCUUGCAAGCAUGCGGUGGUAAGUUCAAUCCCCA
rnacentral:tRNA from 1 species